CAGAUCCCCUCUGCACCAGUGGACCCAGCCUUAGGUCACUCCAGAAUGUCAGACACGGAAGAACAAGAUUACGAGGAGGAGCAGGCAGAAG